rnacentral:rRNA from 1 species
GACGAACGCUGGCGGCGUGCUUAACACAUGCAAGUCGAACGAAGUGGCGAACGGGUGAGUAACGCGUAAUCAACCUGCCCUUCAGAGGGGGACCACAGUUGGAAACGACUGCUAAUACCGCAUAAUGACGGAGGGGAUUGCGUCUGAUUAGCUGGAUGGAGGGGUAACGGCCCACCCAGGCGAUGGUCAGUAGCCGGUCUGAGAGGAUGAACGGCCACAAUUGGACUGAGACACGGCCCAGACUCCUACGGGAGGCAGCAGUGGGGAAUCUUCCGAAAUUGACGAAAGUCUGACGGAGCAACGCCGCGUGAGUGAUGACGGCCUUCGGGUUGUAAAGCUCUGUUAAUCGGGACGCGGUACCGGAAUAGAAAGCCACGGCUAACUACGUGCCAGCAGCCGCGGUAAUAC